UGGGGAAUAUUGCACAAUGGGGGAAACCCUGAUGCAGCGACGCCGCGUGAACGAAGAAGGUAUUCGUAUCGUAAAGUUCUGUCCUAUGGGAAGAUAAUGACAGUACCAUAGAAGAAAGCUCCGGCUAAAUACGUGCCAGCAGCCGCGGUAAUACGUAUGGAGCGAGCGUUGUCCGGAAUUAUUGGGCGUAAAGGGUACGCAGGCGGUUUAAUAAGUCGAAUGUUAAAGAUCGGGGCUCAACCCCGUAAAGCAUUGGAAACUGAUAAACUUGAGUAGUGGAGAGGAAAGUGGAAUUCCUAGUGUAGUGGUGAAAUACGUAGAUAUUAGGAGGAAUACCAGUAGCGAAGGCGACUUUCUGGACACAAACUGACGCUGAGGUACGAAAGCGUGGGGAGCAAACAGGAUUAGAUACCCUGGUAGUCCCUGAGCGGGCUGGCAAGGCGCAU
rnacentral:rRNA from 1 species